UUGAAAGGGAAACGAUUGAAGUCAGUCGUACCAGCGGGAAUCAACCUUUCGAGUGGGGGUUNNNGAGUUUUGAAGAGUGUCAAAACCUUUGAGAUUUCNAAAUUUUCGCUCUUUUGGUGUACUUUCUCGUGGGUAGGUUAACAUCGAUUUUGAUCAUCAUAAAAAGAUUGGAGGAAUGUAGCUUCGAUCUUGUAUUGAAGUGUUAUAGCCUUUGGUAAAUGUGAUGAUUAGGAUCGAGGAUUGCAACGAAUACCCUUUUGGGCUAUCCGCCUGAUCUCUGAUACGUGGCCUUGGUAUCGAAAGCGUGCUUAUGGUAUUGAGGUAUUACGGUCAAAAGGUUAGAACGGAUUACAUUCGUUAAGGAUGUUGACGUA
rnacentral:rRNA from 1 species